rnacentral:ncRNA from 1 species
ACAAUGGGUAUGGUUUAAUCGCUAGAUUUCGAUUCUAGCAGCUGCGAAAGUGGCGGGAUUAUAUAGACGUAUUAGUAAUAAUACGAUACGUAGGGCAUGGAUUAAGACGCGUAAUAAUAUAUACGAUAGUAGAAUAUCGGCUAUAAAUA